rnacentral:rRNA from 1 species
GUGUCAGCAGCCGCGGUAAUACAGAGGUCCCAAGCGUUGUUCGGAUUUACUGGGCGUAAAGGGUGCGUAGGUGGUGAGGCAAGUUCGGUGUGAAAUCUCCGGGCUUAACCCGGAAAUGGCAUUGAAAACUGCCUUGCUAGAGGGUUGGAAGGGAGACUGGAAUUCUUGGUGUAGCAGUGAAAUGCGUAGAUAUCGUAAGGAAGACCAGUGGCGAAGGCGGGUCUCUGGACAGUUCCUGACGCUGAGGCACGAAGGUCAGGGGAGCAAACGGGAUUAGAUACCCCGGUAGUCC